GAUUUUUUUUUUAAUUUUGUGAAUUUUUGGGAUUUUUGGGAAUUUUUGGGGGAAUUUUUUUGGGGGAAUUUUUGGGGUUUUUGGGGCGUUUGGGCUCAGGGUGGGGGAGGGGAGCUCUUACGGAAACGAACCCUCUGGAAAUCCGAGAUCUCCACCCCCGGCGCUGCUGGGAACGGCACCAGUAUGGACCAGUUUGAACCAGUUUGAACCAGUUUGAACCAGUUCGAACCAGUUUAAACCGGUUCAAACCAGUUUGAACCAGUAUAAACCCGUUUGAACCAGUAUAAACCGGUUUAAACCAGUUUAAACCAGUUUAGAAACCAGUUUGAACCAGUUUAAACCAGUUUAAACCAGUUUAGAAACCAGUUUGAACCAGUUUAAACCAGUUUAUUAAACCAGUUUAGAAACCAGUUUGAACCAGUUUAAACCAGUUUAGAAACCAGUCUGAACCCAUAUAAACCAGUUUGAAUCAGUUUAAACCGGUUUAAACCAGUUUGAACCAGUUUAAACCAGUUUAAACCAGUUCAAACCAGUUUAGAAACCAGUUUGAACCGGUUUAAACCAGCUUAAACCAGUUUAGAAACCACUGUGCACCGGUACAGACCAGUUUAAACCAGUUUAAACCAGUUUAAACCAGUGUGUACCAGUACAGACCAGUAUAAACCAGUUAAAAUCCAUAUAAACCAGUUUAAACCAGUUUAGAAACCAGUUUGAACCAGUUUAAACCAGUUUAAACCGGUUUAAACCACUGUGCACCGGUACAGACCAGUAUAAACCAGUUAAAACCCAUAUAAACCAGUUUAAACCAGUUUAAACCAGUUUAGAAACCAGUUUGAACCAGUUUAAACCAGUUUAAACCAGUUUAAACCACUGUGCACCGGUACAGACCAGUAUAAACCAGUUAAAACCCAUAUAAUUUAAACCACUGUGCACCGGUACAGACCAGUAUAAACCAGUUAAAACCCAUAUAAACCACUUCAAACCAGUUUAAACCAGCUUAAACCACUUUAAACCACUUUAAACCAGUUUGAACCAGUUUAAACCACUUUAAACCAGUUUGAACCAGUUUGAACCAGCUUAAACCAGUAUAAACCAGUAACAACCCCCCCCCAACAACCCCCUCCGGUGCCUCCCAGUACAGACCAGUAACCACCAGUGACCCCCAGCAGCCGCCAACCCCCUCCCAGUUCAUCCCAGUAACCCCAAA
rnacentral:lncRNA from 1 species